rnacentral:rRNA from 1 species
CAAUAAGCGGAGGAAAAGAAACUAACAAGGAUUCCCCUAGUAACUGCGAGUGAAGCGGGAAGAGCUCAAAUUUAAAAUCUGGCGGUCUUUGGCCGUCCGAGUUGUAAUUUAGAGAAGCGUCUUCCGCGCCGGACCAUGCACAAGUCUCCUGGAAUGGAGCGUCAUAGAGGGUGAGAAUCCCGUCUUUGGCAUGGAACCCCCGGGGCUUCUGUGAUGCGCUCUCGAAGAGUCGAGUUGUUUGGGAAUGCAGCUCAAAAUGGGUGGUGAACUCCAUCUAAAGCUAAAUAUUGGCGAGAGACCGAUAGCGAACAAGUACCGUGAGGGAAAGAUGAAAAGCACUUUGGAAAGAGAGUGAAACAGUACGUGAAAUUGUUGAAAGGGAAACGCUUGGAGUCAGUCGCGUCGGCCGAGACUCAGCCUCGCCUCGGCUUGGCGUACUUCUCGACCGACGGGCCAGCAUCAAUUUCGUCCCUCGGAUAAUGGCAAGGGAAAGGUGGCACCCUUUUGGGUGUGUUAUAGUCUCCUGUCGAAUGCGAGGGGUGGGAUUGAGGAACUCAGCACGCGCCCACUCGGCGUCGGGGCUUCGGCCCACGUUUACGUGCUUAGGA